CAUUUUUUCUUUUUUCAACCAUAGAAAGAAUGCAUUUUCUUAGCCCUUUUUUUUUUUGAUCUAGGUGGGUAGUUGAAUCAUCAGUCGAUGUGGUUUGACCAGUUUGAGCGGUUGAACCAUUUGGGUUCGAUGGGUUGAAUGGCUUUUAGCAUAUUCCUGGGAUUGGAUACGACCGUACCUAAAAUUAUUAAUGAGUGAUGAGUCAGGAAGAGCAACCCAACAGAUCUAAUACGAAUGCUAAUAGGUUGUUCCUCUUCCUCCUCUAUUAAACUUCAUUACUUAUUAGUGAACUGCUUAUCCUAUUAACUUCAAGUUUUUCUUCAUGCAUAAAUACCUACAUACAUACAUUGGCAUGUGCAUGUGCUGUGUAUGUGUGUAUAUACUUAACAUUUGGGUUUUGGGUUGUGGCUUUUCUUUUGUUGGGGGGGGGGGCGUUGGGGAGGAUGCAAAGCCCCAACUACCUAUAGUAGGGUGAAGGCAGCACUUGAAACCAAGCUACUAGUACUCAACCCUUGGUGACUUUACCAAAAAUUCUGCUAUUGACUCCUCAAGUAUUGCUAUUACUCUAACAGUCUAACUUGCAAAUAUACGCAUGUUGCCGCCAUCAAUCUUCUUGAAGUUCUCACUGUCAUUUGUAAAGUUGGAAUAUUCAAGGGUUCAAGGUUUGGUUGUUGAGAUAACAUUUUCUUUUUUCAACCAAAGAUAGAAUACAUUUUCUUUUCCCUUUUUUCUUUUUGGUCUAUGUGGCUAGUGGACCAAUUGAUCCCAGUGGUUUGACUAGUUUGAGCAGUUGAACUACUUAGGUUGGAUGGGUUGAAUGGUUCAUACUUGAUAGCAUAUUCACAGGUUUGGAUAUGACCCUACCAGAAAUUAAUAAUGGGUGAUGAGUCAGGUGGAGCAACCUCAAUUGACCUGGAUGGGUUUAUGUGUGCGUAUAGUUAUGUACCUAAGACUUGGCCCCACCUACUUGUAUGAAGGUGAAGGCAACACUUGAAACCAAGCAACUAGUACCCAAACCCUAGUAACCAUACCAAAUCAGCUAUUGAUGACUCCAAUUUUUCAUCAUAUGUUAAUAUCUGAAGUAUUGCUAUUACUCUGACAUGCAAAUAUACAAUUGUUGCUGGCACCAAUCUUCUUGAAGCUUUUACUACCAUUUGUAAACUUGCAAUAUUGGCUCACAUUAUUGUAAUUGUAGCUGAUGAUCUUGUUGUGUUAAAAUUUAAAGAUACCCGAUAAUAAACCGGAUCCUUUUUUGCGUGAAAAAUACAGCAAAUUUAAAUUCAGAAGGUUGUGUUGGAACCAUUUGAUUUUAUUGCACAACCUAGUCGGUUGUGAAACAGAAAUACCAAGGCCAUUAGGGUUAGAAAUGUUGUACACUCCAAUGUUAUGUAGAAAUUCUUCUUUGUGAAAGGAUUUUAGUCAAACAUUAAAAGAGUUUCAAUAAAGCAGCAUUUUUGAUAAAAUCGGAAGAGUGUGAGUUCUAUUUAAAAUUACUUAUAAGAUUAAGAAUAGGAAAUUGACUUAUCGAGAGACUACUUGGAUUGGCUCGUUAAUUUACGAUGUAAAAGUAGAAAAUCCGAAAGCGUGUGAUCACUAUUCUAAGGCAAAUUUUUGACCCUCGUGUCGGUGUUUAUUAGAAAGUCUAUCCCAAGAUAUGAUUGGGAUACCCUUUCUUGGAGCACGAUCGUGGAGAGGGUUGACAGAUCUCUCAAAACUCAGCAAAGAGUACAGAGGUAGAAGAGUGUUUAAAUACCAAAGAGAAGAAGUAAGAGAGAGAGAGCAAAGACUUGAGAAGAGAAAUACGAUGACUGCCUUUUUUUAGUGCCCCAUGUUGUCCAAACUUGUGGUCUUAUAUAGACCAUGGGAAGACGCGAACAAAGAGAUUCUUUGAGCGGUUGACCAUGAUGGGAAACGAUCGAUCAAAGUGAGAUACAUCCGUCUGGUCAAAUGGUCAAUUGAUCGUUAUGAUGGUGAUAAUUUAAAAUAAAAAGAUAAAAUGUUAAAAUAAAAAUAUAAAUUAUCACACCAUGCGCAUGCGUCGCGUUCACACGCAUGUCCAAGCUGAGCCAAGCCAAGUUGGCCGAUGCGCACGUGCGGUGUAACAACCACUUCCCUCUUUGACCUAAGCGGAGGUGGGCAAGGAAAGAAGGUAGAUAAACAUUAAGAAGAGAUUGUCCUUUUUCAAUGUGGGACUAAACUCAUAACAAAACUUUUAGAGAACUUUAGAGAGAAGGGAAAGUUUGAGUUUUCCCUCCAACUCCCUUACAAUUCUUCUCAAAACUCAAAAUUUUAAAAUAAAUAAUACUAAUUAUUUAAUAUCAAUAUAAUUGAAACUUUAUUGCUGAGUAUCUAUACUAUGUAAUGGGUGAAGUGUUUUAAUCGUACUUAAUGUAGAUAGGCUCCAUCUGAAGGAUCAGAGUGAAUCAAAUCUUGAACUAUGUUCCUUUGAUCUAGACUUUAACUAUAACAUACAUAAUGUGGAAAGAUUUGUCGUGGGGUUGCACAUUAUUGGUCGUGUGCAAGUAUGUUGUUCAUGAGAGCAUCUAGGACAGGGAUUCAGGUCCUAAUGGGACGUCCCGUGGGACAUCGGGACGGGAUACCAUUCCAUGUGUUGGGAUAGACCGUCCUGCUAGCGUCCCAACAUCUUGAUCGAGACGUCUUGGGACAUCCUUUGUCCCAAGUGUCACGACGGAAUGGGACGGUGAUGCAUCCCGUUCCGUAGAAAAAUCGGGACAGUCCCGUCCCUUGGGAUUUAAAAUCUUGAUCUAGGAUUUGCCCAUAUCCCCUACGACGGCUGUAUAUAGAAGCUUUCAUAUAGGUGAGCCCUCUAGGGAUGUUGAUGUAGCCAUCAUAAUUUGAUGAAAUCCAGCAUAAGAAGUAAAGAAAAUCUCAGCAACAAUUUAAAUAAGAAAUAGAUUACAGCAUUCAUAAGAACUAAAGAUGACAGACCAACAACCGAGAUCAAUACAUGAAUGCCAAGUGCAUAUAAAAGUCCGAAAAAAAAACUCCAAGAAAUGAAGCUUUCCAAACUUAAUUAUUUUAAAAGAAAAUGGAUAGGUUUUGAAGGGAGGUGAAGAGGAUAAAAGGUGGGGUAAAAGAUUGUGAUGGUGAUGAGAUAAUGGGGAUUACUUUAGAUGAGAAGGUGAAGGUCGCGAGAUUCAAGAUUGCAAUAGGUUCACGAACUGCGGGUUAUCCAUGACCACUAAGGCUUGCGGAAUCGCAAUGAACAACUUCAGCAUGGAAAGGAUGAAAGACGAGAAUAUAGAAGAAGUGGAGAAGGAGAGAUCGAUUCGAGCGCGAGGAAGAAGCGACUACAGAUCAGAAGGUAGAGAAAAACUAUAUGUAGAGAGAGGGAGAUUUAAGGUUUCUAUGAAGUCUUUGUUUUUUUUUCUGUUGCUCUUCCUAAGCCCCAAGAGCCCAUAUUUAUAACCCUUUUCUUCUUUCUUUCUUUUUCUAUUCUUCUUUUUUUGUUUGGUCAAAAAUACCAUUUUUUCUCUUUCCUCUCUUUUUUUCCUUUCUUUUUUUUUCUUUCCCCUUUUUCUUUUCCUCUCUUUUUUUCUCUUUCCCCUUUUCUCUUUCCUCCUUUUCUUUUCCUCUUUUUUCUCUCUUUCUCUUUUUUUCUUUUUCUUUCCUCUUCUUUAGUAAGAGAUAAAUCUGUGGAGAAUCAUAUGGUCCCCGCAUUCCCCUUUUUCUUUUCUUUCCCUCUUCUCUAGUAAGAGAUAAAUCUGUGGAGAAUCAUAUGGUCCCUGCAAAUUUAGAUUGGCUUCUUGGUUCGAAAAAAAAUAAAUAAAAAGGAUUUGGUUCAGAUUUGGAUCAAUUUAUCCAAUUUUUCUUAAAAUAAUUAAGCUGGAUUGAAUCAAAUAUCAAGAAAAAAAAUAACUUGACAAAUAAGAUAAAAUCAUGGCUUGAUGCACUGCAUCAGUUCUCUUCGGGUGGGAGAGAUCUCGACCCUGUCGAUAUGGCUUCUUGAUAACUUUGGUAUAAGUCCUCUUGAAGCCGACGCAAUUCUACCUCUGAAAUCUAUCUGCUAUCAAUCAUUGGACGCCCUUGCCAACGUACCAAAUAUCGACGAUGUGUAUCCCGAUGUGUCGCAGCCUCGUGAACGUCCAGAAUCUCCUCUACGCCCUCUGUUGCUAUCUUUGCAUCCGUAAUGAAAGGUAGCAUCUUGAUAUCUACAGUAGUGGGUGCUUCUCCAUGGUACUCGAAUAAAUCAUUCACAUCAAAAACUGAAAAGGUAAGUACUUUUGGUGGCAGAUCAAUAAGGUAGGCAUUCUUUCAGUUUCUUGAGAAUUUUGAAUGGUCCAAAUUUCUUUCUGUCUAGCUUGCUAUAAUUUUCGACGGAAAAUCUCUCCUUCAAAUAGACCAAAACACUAUCUCAUUAAAAUCCAUGCCUCGACGGUGUAGGUCCACUACUGCCUUAUAUUUGGCGGUGGAGUCCCGCAAUCUUUUGUGAACCUACUGUUGCACCUUUUGAACCUAUUUGAAGUAGGACUCGGCUUCUGCGUUAAAUCUAUCAGGAUAUGGAAUGGGUGUUCGAUCAAGAAAAUGAAGAAUAGGAUGAUCAUAGAGAGUUUCAAAAGGAAAUUUUUCUAUGGUUCUAUUGAUGGAAUUAUUAUAUACAAACUCAGCUUGUGGUAAGAUUAAAUCCUAUUAUUUUGGUCUUUCACUUGCCAAGAAUCUUAAAAGGUUGCCCAAAGAUCGAUUUACCAUCUCAGUCGGUCCAUCAGUUGCGGAUGAUAUGGACUGCUAAAAUUUAAUCUAUUUUCUGCUUUGGUCAUCAGAGUUCUCCAAAAAUGACUUAUAAAUUUAGUAUUCCUAUCUGAUGUGAUUGAUCUAAGAAUGGCAUGCAGACGCAUAAUGUCAUUGAAAAAUAGUUUUGCAAUAUGUGAUGCAUCGGACGUAUUUUUACAUAGAAUAAAAUGGGCGAUUUUGGUAAAGCGAUCUACAACCAUAAAGAUUGAGUCAACAUGUGCAGUUUUGGAUAGGCCAAGAACAAAGUCUAUAGUAACAUCUUCCCAAGGAGCAGAGGGAAUAGGAAGAGGAGUAUAUAAGUCUGUGUUCUGUUUUUGACCCUUAAAAGUUUGAUAGGUCAUACAACAUUGAACGAAUCGUUCUACAUCCCUAUACAUGUUUGGCCAAUAAUAGCACUCUUGAACUAACCCCAAGGUUGUAUCCCGUCCGAAAUGUCCUCAUAAACCAUUAUUGUGCAGGUCUUAAAUCAAGGACUUUCUCAACGAACCCUCUAGGAUGCAUAACUUGGAUUGUCUAAAAAGAUAUCCAGAUUCAAUGCAAAAAUCAGAGGACAAAUUAGUGUCGGAAGACAUAUUUUCCCAUGAUAGGUCCGAAGUAAGGGUCAUCUUUGUACAGAUCCUUAAUAGUCUCAAGCCUUACAAUUUGUAAGGAAGCUGUGAUAAAGAGAUGGGUCCUACAACUAAGAGUGUCGGCAACCCGAUUGAAUAUACCCUGCUUAUGUCUCAAGUGGAAAGUGUACUCUUGUAUAAAUGCAGUCCAUUUGGCAUGCCUCUUGUUAAGGUUCUUUUGAGAAUUCAAAUAACGUAAGGCUUCAUGGUCCGAGUUAAGGAUGAACUCCCGAUGAAUCAAAUAUGGUCGCUAGUGUUUCAAGGCUUGUACAAUCACAUAGAACUAGAGAUCAUACGUAGAAUAACGCGAUCGAGCAUCAUUCAAUUUCUCACUAAAAAAGGCUAGGGGUCGCUUUUCUUAGGACAAUACAACCACUAUUUCCACAAGUGAGACAUCACAAUCAACUUCGAAAAUCUUAUCAAAGUUAAAUAGGGCAAGUAGGGCUGCAUUCAUGUGUCUGUUUUUAACCAUUUUGAAGCUUUGUUCAGCUUCAAGAGUCUAGCAAAAUUUUUUCCUUUUCAAACAGUCUGUAAUUGGAGCAAUCAAGGAAUUGAAAUUUUGAUGAAGCGUCGAUAGAACGACGCAAGUCCAUGGAAGCUUUGAAUCUCAGUGAUGGUUUUUGGGGUUGUCCAGUCUUGAAUCACCUUAAAUAGCAAGAUCUACUUUAAUCCCAUUGGUAGGCACAAUAUAGCUUAGGAAGAUGAGGUUGUCAGUUAAAAAGGUACACUUUUUAAGGUUUAGAUACAGCUAAUUUUCUUUCAAGGUCUGAAGCAUUUGUCGAAGAUGGUUCAAAUGGAGUUCAGAACUUGUGCUAUAGAUCAAAAUAUUGUCGAAGUAUAUUACGACAAAUUUUUCAGUGAACGGUCGUAACACUUGAUUCAUGGUACGCAUAAAAGUACUUGGGACAUUGGAUAGCCCAAAAGGCAUAACUAACCAUUCAUACAAUCCAUCUUUGAUUUUGAAUGCCAUUUUCCACUAGUCUCUUGGUCGGAUAUGGAUAUGGUGAUAUCCGCUCUUCAGGUCGAUCUUGGAGAAUAUCUUCACACCCCCUAGCAUGUCAAGCAUGUCAUCGAGCCUAAAGAUGGAGAACCUAUACUUCACCAUGAUUUUAUUGAUAGCACGACUAUCUACACACAUUCGUCAUGUUCCAUCUUUUUUUUUGGAGUGAGGGGAGUGGGUACAGCCAUUGGACUCAUACUCUUUCUAAUAUACCCCUUCAAUAAGUCAGUGACUUGUUGAUGCAGUUUUUCAUGCUCGACCGGGCUCAUCCUCUCAUAGGCUUGGUGUAGUAGACUCGUUCCUGGCACUAGAUCAAUGCAGUGCUGGAUAUCUCUUAUAGGGGGUAGGCCAUCAGGGAGUUCCUCUAGCAUAAUGUCAGAAAACUCGUCUAAUUGAGGUCGAACAGUCGAGGGAGCUUCAAGAGUUUCAAUUGUUUCUUUUAUCACUAAGACAUAUCAUAGGGGAUCCUGCUAGAUUUUUAGUAAAUUGGGACUUACUCAAGGCCAUCAUGGAUUGCCCCUUGGUGGAUGGCGGUUUUUGGGAUAAGUCUGACUUAGGCUUCGGCUUUGAUGUACUGUUGAAUGGAAUCAACUUAAUCUUUUCGUUGUCCUUAGUGACUAUGCAUGUGUUCUCCUUCUCGUCAUGUAUGGUGCUAUGGUCAAACUGCCAAGGUCUUUCUAACAAUAAGUGACAUACGUCCAUGGGCACUACAUUGCACUAAACCUCGUCAGUAUAAGUCUUCCCAAUGGAAAACUCAACUAGAAUUCAUCGUGUUAUGGGAAUCUUGUCUCUGUCCUUAAAUCAGGCGAUUUGAUAAGGUUAUGCAAGCUUAUCAAUUUUUAGCUGAAGUUUGUCAACAUCUCUUGGGAGACAAAGUUCUCCAUACUCCCAUUAUCAAUUAGAGCAGAAUUUUCCCCCAGCAUUGUAGAUGGUUCGAAAAAGAUUGUGUCGUCUCUAAUCAUCCUUGGUAGUUUUGGGUGCUACAAGAACAUGAUUGAUCAUUAGAUUUGGUUCCGUAAUUUUAGUAGGCUCAUCAAGGAUCUUGUUAUUUCCAACAUCUUCCUCUUGCAUUUCGAUCUCUUCUUUCUGUUCACUCUUGUCGGCAUUUUCAAUCAAAUUUGUCCUAGGCUAAAACUGUCUCAAAGGACACUGACGACUUAUGACCCAGUUGCCUACACUUAUAACAAAGGAUAUUGGACCCCGGGGGCUUAGGACCUAAAAUUCCUUUACCCUUAGUAUCGACAUGUUUUGGAAGGGGUUGGAUGUCAUUUUUUGGGGUUGGUUUGGUUCUUACAAUGGUCUUCCCACUUAGGUUUUCUGUCGGAAUGUUUGUCUUUUUAAUUUAGACUCGAUCUUAAGGGCAUGAUUGUAGGCCGCAUCGAUCUGUAGAAAAUUGUAGAAGGU
rnacentral:lncRNA from 1 species